rnacentral:misc_RNA from 1 species
GCCGCCCAUGCAGCCGCCCAUGCAGCUUCAAAAGGUUUUAACAAUGGAUUUGAUGCUGGAUUUGGAUUGUUUGGAGGAGACGCAGCUGCCAGUGCUUCUGCCGCUGGUGCUGGAUCAUCUGCACAAAGGACAUCAUUCAAUGGACUCCAAGGGCACUCUAAAAUCCCCAGCGGGGUUUGAAUUCAUGGCUAACAGAUCCGUAGUGAACCCUCUUAACCACUGCACUACUCAUUUACAAUUUUGGGAGAGAAACUAUUUAUAAAAUUAUACCUGAUAUUUUUUGUUGAUAUUCAUAAAAAUUUGUCACAACAUGGAGGUCUCCAAUAUUACCUCAGGCACGUUUGUUUAAGAAAAAACGUUUAAUAUUUAGCAAUUAUUUAUAUAAAUGGUUGAUAUUGUGGAAUUUUUAGAUAUUUUAAGCCGUUGUCCUCUCUAUUUGAAAAUACUAUGAGUUGAUAGUUAAAUAAAAGUAAUCAACGAAGCACCUGUUAUAUGAGGUAUGGUGUUUUCCUGUUUAAAAAGACUGCUGUUUUCUUUUUGUUUAACUUAGUCUAUGAUGACCUAUGCAUUUUAGCAUUUUAUAAUCAGAUUCUCUAUUUCUUUUUAUCUUAUUUCCAAAUAAAACAGAUUUUUUUUUUCAUUUCUGAUAU